rnacentral:rRNA from 1 species
CAGAGUUUGAUCCUGGCUCAGGAUGAACGCUGGCGGCGUGCCUAAUACAUGCAAGUCGAGCGAACGGACGAGAAGCUUGCUUCUCUGAUGUUAGCGGCGGACGGGUGAGUAACACGUGGAUAACCUACCUAUAAGACUGGGAUAACUUCGGGAAACCGGAGCUAAUACCGGAUAAUAUUUUGAACCGCAUGGUUCAAAAGUAAAAGACGGUCUUGCUGUCACUUAUAGAUGGAUCCGCGCUGCAUUAGCUAGUUGGUAAGGUAACGGCUUACCAAGGCAACGAUGCAUAGCCGACCUGAGAGGGUGAUCGGCCACACUGGAACUGAGACACGGUCCAGACUCCUACGGGAGGCAGCAGUAGGGAAUCUUCCGCAAUGGGCGAAAGCCUGACGGAGCAACGCCGCGUGAGUGAUGAAGGUCUUCGGAUCGUAAAACUCUGUUAUUAGGGAAGAACAUAUGUGUAAGUAACUGUGCACAUCUUGACGGUACCUAAUCAGAAAGCCACGGCUAACUACGUGCCAGCAGCCGCGGUAAUACGUAGGUGGCAAGCGUUAUCCGGAAUUAUUGGGCGUAAAGCGCGCGUAGGCGGUUUUUUAAGUCUGAUGUGAAAGCCCACGGCUCAACCGUGGAGGGUCAUUGGAAACUGGAAAACUUGAGUGCAGAAGAGGAAAGUGGAAUUCCAUGUGUAGCGGUGAAAUGCGCAGAGAUAUGGAGGAACACCAGUGGCGAAGGCGACUUUCUGGUCUGUAACUGACGCUGAUGUGCGAAAGCGUGGGGAUCAAACAGGAUUAGAUACCCUGGUAGUCCACGCCGUAAACGAUGAGUGCUAAGUGUUAGGGGGUUUCCGC